rnacentral:rRNA from 1 species
GCAAGUCGAACGGUAGCAGGUCUUCGGAUGCUGACGAGUGGCGGACGGGUGCGUAACGCGUAGGAAUCUGCCUAUUAGUGGGGGACAACUUAGGGAAACUUAAGCUAAUACCGCAUACGCCCUACGGGGGAAAGGAGGGGACCUUCGGGCCUUUCGCUAAUAGAUGAGCCUGCGUCGGAUUAGCUAGUUGGUGGGGUAAAGGCCUACCAAGGCGACGAUCCAUAGCUGGUCUGAGAGGACGAUCAGCCACACUGGGACUGAGACACGGCCCAGACUCCUACGGGAGGCAGCAGUGGGGAAUAUUGGACAAUGGGCGAAAGCCUGAUCCAGCAAUACCGCGUGUGUGAAGAAGGCCUUAGGGUUGUAAAGCACUUUCAAUUGGAAGGAAAAACUCAUGGCCAAUACCCAUGAGCUUGACAUUACCUUUAGAAGAAGCACCGGCUAACUCCGUGCCAGCAGCCGCGGUAAUACGGAGGGUGCGAGCGUUAAUCGGAAUUACUGGGCGUAAAGCGUGCGUAGGCGGCUCGUUAAGUCAGAUGUGAAAGCCCUGGGCUCAACCUGGGAACGGCAUUUGAAACUGGCGAGCUAGAGUUUGGGAGAGGAGAGUGGAAUUUCAGGUGUAGCGGUGAAAUGCGUAGAGAUCUGAAGGAACACCAGUGGCGAAGGCGACUCUCUGGCCUAAAACUGACGCUGAGGUACGAAAGCGUGGGUAGCAAACAGGAUUAGAUACCCUGGUAGUCCACGCCGUAAACGAUG